GGAUUCUGGACCAUGGUCCAGAUUCUUUGCCUCUCGUGUUUAUGCUAUGGCGCAUUAAUGGCGGGUGUGUUGGGUGGGAGGGGGCGGUGCGUCCUUGGGUCUUCUCUUACCCCUGUGCGCAGGCGGAAAAAACAAAAAGAAAAAAGUGUUUGAUGCAAAUAAGGGCAUGGAGGAGCUCACUGCUCGAGCGCUGGCGGAAGCGGCGGCCGUACUGACGGGGAGCGUAGGCGGGGGUGUCGUCGACUUCCCCCCGGAUCUAGUCUGCAGUUUGCCGAUCUUCAGUGGCGGUGCUCCGUCUGUGGGCUCUGCGCAUGAUGAGGGGAGCGAGGUGUGGGGCUGGCGAGGGACUGGCCUGCCAGAUUCGUCAGUGGCCGUUCAGGAUAGUUGCGGUGAUGCCGGGGGGGAGGGCAGCGGCGACAGCGCUCCAGCGGAGUCGGCGAGUCGGCGGUGAAGCCACAUCCGAAGGCGCCGGGGUGGAUUCAGAGGAGAGCCAUUUUCCCCCUUUAUGUAUUUGUACUGAAAAAAUCAUGCUGCGAUCCUCUAUUGUUACAAUUGUGUAGUAGAGUCCGUGUGAGGGGCGAAUCCUAUCAAGCGAACACCAUGCCCUGGUAGGAUGGGUACGCUUGAGAAGACCAUCAAAGGAUUUGCGUAAAGGGAAGGAGACGAGGAGCAUGGCUUUGGCAUCAGAUAUGGAAAAGGCCGGUUCAACCGGGAAAAAAGGAAGACCAUGCAGGAGAUUGUUUGUGGAUGCUCAAUAAGGGAAGCAUCUCCGUGAGAACACAAGGUCAUGUCGGUGCGAGUGUCCAGCGAUGAUCGGGCUGUUGAGGACAUCGGGUAAUGGGUGGUACAUAACGGAGCAUCGAGUAAAGCACAACUAUGUCAUGGCCCCUAACUGUGGUGAGAUGCUGCAUUGGCCAUCCCACAAGCACAUUGAUGUUUACACAAGGGAUCUGGCGAGGAACCUGCAGAAGAAUAACAUCAACAUCAGCAAAGUGUACAUCACAAUUGGAGGGUUCUUCGGGACGAUUGAAAAUGUGCCUUUCGCGAAGAGGGUGCUUUGGAACUUGUGCGGGAAAAUAGGUCGGGACGAGCCAGAUGAUGAUGUGAAGAAAACAAUUGAAGUGUUCAAUGAACUAGGUGCAAAGGACCCUGAUAUUUUGUUCCGGGUUCAGGCUGAUGGCGAGAGCAGGAUGAAAAAUCUAAUGUGGACAACAGGGCAUAGUAGGCUAAAGUACAAGUUCUUUGGUGAUGUUGUCACCUUCGACACCACAUAUCGGACAAACAUGUAUGACAUGCCAUUUUGGCUGUUUGUUGGGGUUAAUAAUCAUUUUCAGAGCAUCUUGCUGGGAGGGGUGCUGCUUAGGGAUGAAGAAGUAGAAAGCUUCGAGUGGGUUUUCACGGAGUUCCUUAGGAUGAUGGGUGGUGUGGCACCGAGAACCAUAUUGACGGAUCAGUGCAGAGCUAUGGAGGUAGCUAUAAAAACAACACUUCUGGAUACAGUCCACCGGUGGUGCAAAUGGCACGUCCUAAAGAAAGCAAAAGAAAGUCUUGGUGCUUUGUAUGGCAAGAGAACUGAAUUCAGGCAAGAGUUCCACAAGGUUGUCAAGACCAUGUUAACGGUGGAUGAGUUCGAAGAAGCUUGGGCACAUUUGAUCGAGAAAUACAACCUGAAGACCCACUCGUACAUGACUUAGCUAUUUGAAAUACAAGAAAUGGGUUAAGCCGUACUUCAAAAUGGUUUUCUGCACAAAAUGUCUGGCACCCAGCAGAGUGAGAGUGCAAACCAUAGGCUAAAGAAUUAUGUGCCACCAGGUUCACCAAGGCAUAAGUUUGUCAUGUAAUACAUGAGGCUGCAGUUUGACCCAUCAUCUAAUGAGCUACGAGAAGAGAACAAAAAUCGUGAUGGAUUUUUUGGGGAUGGUGAGAUCCCAGAGAAGCACAUUGUGAAGAGAUGGACAAAGGAUGCUCGUGCCAUACUACUAGAGCACCUACAGCACUACGAGCGAGAUCAGAUUAGCUCUACUAUGCUAACUUUCAGAAAUACUACGCUAGCUUUCAGAAAUAACAGAAUGUACAUGCACUGGAGUUAGUGAGGCUCGGAGACACGAGUGUGGAAGCUUACGAAACUCUGAUGGGUCUAUUGAAUCAAGCGCUGCUGGUGAUGACACCGUUUGAUAAGGCAAAGGAUGGACUAAGACUGGAGGACCGUGUGCAGAACAAAGGCCAACAAGACGGAGCCGCGAGACAGAGAACAUGUAAUCCAGAGGCUGAUGAAGUGAAUUCCGAGCAUAGCCAUCCUUUAGGGCUUGUUCGUUUAUUCCCUUCCCCAAGGUGAUUGGAGAGGUUUGAAGGGGAUUGGGAAGGAAUUUGACAUACAGGGGAUGUAAUCCCUCACAAUCCCCUUUAAUCCCCCUCAAACAUUGUGCAACCGAACAAGGCCUUAGCAGGUUUGGAACCGCCGGCGAAGAAGAGAAAUCCGGGAAGGCCAAUGAAUGUUAGGAACAGAGCACCUUACGAAAGCACGGCGAAGAGGAGAUUAAGGGGCACAAACGAACAACUUGCCCACAGCAAGGAGACACCCCGAAAAAUCCUAGGAAGGAGGCAAUGUGCAGCAACUGCGGCGUGGUUGGACAUAGGAAGAACGCGUGCAGACAGACCGGCCGGGCAAGGGGCUAAUGCUGAGACUGCAUAGCUUUACUGGAUAUCCUGUUCUACUUGUAACAAAAAGUGUAAACCUGUUAAUUUGUAGCUGCCUGCACGUUUAAGA